GCAAGUCGAGCGCGCUCUUCGGAGUGAGCGGCAGACGGGUGAGUAACACGUGGGAAUCUACCUAUCUCUGCGGAACAACAGUUAGAAAUGGCUGCUAAUACCGCAUACGCCCUUCGGGGGAAAGAUUUAUCGGAGAUAGAUGAGCCCGCGUUUGAUUAGCUAGUUGGUGAGGUAAUGGCUCACCAAGGCGACGAUCAAUAGCUGGUCUGAGAGGAUGAUC
rnacentral:rRNA from 1 species